rnacentral:misc_RNA from 1 species
GCAGCAGCAGCGGUGGUGGCGGCGGAUUCAAGGUGAAGCCGCGGCCGGCCACCGACAGCAAAGGCAAAGCGGUUGUUGUUUCGAAGCCCGAGGUGAAAGGAAAAACAGUGACUACUACGGUUACGAAAACCACGAGCAGCAAAUCGACGACUGUUAAGGUGAAAACCGAGAAGAAAGUCUACACCUUGCCUGGACAGAAGCAUGACCCUCCUGAAGAGAGAGAACCCUUGAGGAUAUUUUAUGAUUCCUUGUCACAACAGAUUCCAUCGAGCGAAAUGGCAGAGUUCUGGUUGAUGGAACACGGGUUGCUACCACUUGAUAAAGCCAAAAGAGCUUACGAAAAAAAGCAUGGGAAAAAAUUUCAGGCGCGAACAGGCACCCCGAUGAAAUCCCAAAAGCAGGAGAUAUCGGAGAGCUCAAAGAAGUCCCAAGUGUCGAAGAAUGGGGAUUUUACUGCCAAGAAAAGAGUCCAAUACAGCGAUGAUGAGGAUGACGAUUUCAUAGUGAAAAACAGAAGAAUGAAGUGAUGAG